rnacentral:rRNA from 1 species
CGCAAGCCUGAUGCAGCCAUGCCGCGUGUGUGAAGAAGGCCUUCGGGUUGUAAAGCACUUUCAGUCGUGAGGAAGGUAGUGUAGUUAAUAGCUGCAUUAUUUGACGUUAGCGACAGAAGAAGCACCGGCUAACUCCGUGCCAGCAGCCGCGGUAAUACGGAGGGUGCGAGCGUUAAUCGGAAUUACUGGGCGUAAAGCGCAUGCAGGUGGUUUGUUAAGUCAGAUGUGAAAGCCCGGGGCUCAACCUCGGAAUAGCAUUUGAAACUGGCAGACUAGAGUACUGUAGAGGGGGUAGAAUUUCAGGUGUAGCGGUGAAAUGCGUAGAGAUCUGAAGGAAUACCGGUGGCGAAGGCGGCCCCCUGGACAGAUACUGACACUCAGAUGCGAAAGCGUGGGGAGCAAACAGGAUUAGAUACCCUGGUAG